rnacentral:rRNA from 1 species
UUGAAGCUUCGGCAGAUUUAGAUUGUUUCUAGUGGCGGACGGGUGAGUAACGCGUGGGUAACCUGCCUUAUACAGGGGGAUAACAGUCAGAAAUGACUGCUAAUACCGCAUAAGCGCACAGGACCGCAUGGUCCGGUGUGAAAAACUCCGGUGGUAUAAGAUGGACCUGCGUUGGAUUAGCUAGUUGGUGAGGUAACGGCCCACCAAGGCGACGAUCCAUAGCCGGCCUGAGAGGGUGAACGGCCACAUUGGGACUGAGACACGGCCCAGACUCCUACGGGAGGCAGCAGUGGGGAAUAUUGCACAAUGGGGGAAACCCUGAUGCAGCGACGCCGCGUGAAGGAAGAAGUAUCUCGGUAUGUAAACUUCUAUCAGCAGGGAAGAAAAUGACGGUACCUGACUAAGAAGCCCCGGCUAACUACGUGCCAGCAGCCGCGGUAAUACGUAGGGGGCAAGCGUUAUCCGGAUUUACUGGGUGUAAAGGGAGCGUAGACGGAUGGACAAGUCUGAUGUGAAAGGCUGGGGCUCAACCCCGGGACUGCAUUGGAAACUGCCCGUCUUGAGUGCCGGAGAGGUAACGCGGAAUUCCCUAGUGUAGCGGUGAAAUGCGUAGAUAUUAGGAGGAACACCAGUGGCGAAGGCGGCUUACUGGACGGUAACUGACGUUGAGGCUCGAAAGCGUGGGGAGCAAACA